ensembl:lncRNA
AUGUUAUUAGAUUGUUUGCUGGCCCCUCUAAAGCUCUUAAUUUUCUUCCACAGUUGUUGUGUUUUCAUGUCACCCUGCAACAUAUUACCUAAGGCCGAAUGGCAGGAGUGUGAGCAGAACACACUGAAUGUGAGUUUCUCCACGUGGGUUACGUGUGUACGCCACCAGCAGACCACCAGCGCCUUUUAUAAUCGCACUCUACAGAAGAGGUACACAUCAAAUCUAUCACAGCCUGAAGAGCACUGGCUUGUAUUUUUGGCAGUUUUAUGGUGUACAGUAUAUCAGAUGUUGACAUGUUUUAAAGUUGUCAUGGUUAAUUUAUUCACCACUGUCUGCACCACACAGAGCUGCAAGUCAUUUUUGGUGACACUUAACAUUACGAUUAUGUUACUUAACAUUAAUAUGCGUAACUUUGCAAGUACAUGUCAUCUUAUUCUACUAACCCUUAUCGAACAAUCUACAAAUAUUGUAAUGAGAGUUAAUUGACAUGUAGUUGCAAAGUUACUUAUAGUUAGUAGAAUGUCUGAAGUGGACUAUCAAAAUAAAGUUUAACCAAAAUGAAUUUUCUGUAAAUAU